rnacentral:rRNA from 1 species
CCCUUAGAUGUCCUGGGCGGCCCGCGCACUACAUUGGCACUAGCAAAGAGAUCCUAGAUUGAAUUCUUUGGGGUAUUCUUCUAAAUGGUGUCGUGACUGGGAUAAAUCCUUGUAAUUAUUGGUUUUGAACGAGGAAUUCCUUGUAAUCGCGGUUUAUCAGCUCGCGUUGAAUGCGUCCCUGCCCUUUGUACACACCGCCCGUCGCUCCUACCGAUGGAUCGUCCGGUGAAGCUCACGGAGUGACUGUUCACGCAACGGUUUACGAAGUGAAAUGGACCUCACGAUUUAGAGGAAGGAGAAGUCGUAACA